UCCGGUGAGGAGACCCAGGCAGCAGCACCCAUUUGCAGACCCAGCAGCCAAGGACGUCCCUGGUAGCCAAGCUGGUGCCUGCUGGGUCUGGGGUGCACUGGCAUCACCCCACCUUACAAACCCAUGAGAUGCCAGCAUGCAGAGCCAGCUUGGGUGGUGGGAAUGAAGAGGAAAAUGAGGCACCGAACAUUCUAGUCCUGUCUCCCCCCACAGCAUUAACAUCCCAACCUGUGCACUCCUGGACUGGUGCCUCCAGGAACCAGACCCAUUCACUCUGGCCACUCACGGGCAGAGGGACUCCAUUGAUGCCGGAGCAGAUUGCACGUAGGUGGGGAGUCUGAAGGUGGUGACUGCACCAGGGUUGCAGUGAGAGGACCCCAGGGACUAUGGCCUCAUCCUUCCGCAUCCCUGAAGACCCACGGAGGCCAGAGGACGUGCUGCUGCAUUGGGGUUGGCCCUUGGAUUUAGGAACCAGGCUCAGCUGGAAGACAGGAGGCAGAGCAUAGAUAUAUGUCAGCCUGGGAUCAGAAUCAAGAGGAUCAGCGAGAUGUUCUGUGUUCUCUGUGUGCACGGACUCAGAGCCCAGCCCAUGCUCUCACAUUUGGAGCCUGUGGCCUUCAUCCCAUGCCACGUGUGGAACAUCCUCCUGGAGCUGUGGAGCUGCAUAACAGAAGGCUAUCUCACGAGGGCCGGGGAUU